rnacentral:rRNA from 3 species
UAGACCGCCUGGGGAGUACGGCCGCAAGGUUAAAACUCAAAUGAAUUGACGGGGGCCCGCACAAGCGGUGGAGCAUGUGGUUUAAUUCGAUGCAACGCGAAGAACCUUACCUGGUCUUGACAUCCACAGAAGAAUCCAGAGAUGGAUUUGUGCCUUCGGGAACUGUGAGACAGGUGCUGCAUGGCUGUCGUCAGCUCGUGUUGUGAAAUGUUGGGUUAAGUCCCGCAACGAGCGCAACCCUUAUCCUUUGUUGCCAGCGAUUAGGUCGGGAACUCAAAGGAGACUGCCAGUGAUAAACUGGAGGAAGGUGGGGAUGACGUCAAGUCAUCAUGGCCCUUACGACCAGGGCUACACACGUGCUACAAUGGCGCAUACAAAGAGAAGCGACCUCGCGAGAGCAAGCGGACCUCAUAAAGUGCGUCGUAGUCCGGAUUGGAGUCUGCAACUCGACUCCAUGAAGUCGGAAUCGCUAGUAAUCGUGGAUCAGAAUGCCACGGUGAAUACGUUCCCGGGCCUUGUACACACCGCCCGUCACACCAUGGGAGUGGGUUGCAAAAGAAGUAGGUAGCUUAACCUUCGGGAGGGCGCUUACCACUUUGUGAUUCAUGACUGGGGUGAAGUCGUAACAAGGUAACCGUAGGGGAACCUGCGGUUGGAUCACCUCCUUACCUUAAAGAA